GGUCCCCGUUCCAUCCUCUUGCCAGUGGUGGUUAUCCCGGCACCUGCUUACUGGCUUUGUGGCUGUACACACCCGUAUAGACUCCUGAUAUAGAUAUCUGUCUUAAUGUAAGACAAGCAAGAUGGCGGACGUGCCACUUUCACAAGAAACUACAAAUUCUCAUGGCCUAAUGGAGCAGUCCUUGCAAAGACUAGAGGACACUGCUGAUGCCACGAGAGGGAAACUUAAAAAGCAACAAUUCGGAGGUGAGCAAGGCCC